rnacentral:rRNA from 1 species
GACGAACGCUGGCGGCAUGCCUAAUACAUGCAAGUCGAGCGAACAGAUGAAGUGCUUGCACUUCUGACGUUAGCGGCGAACGGGUGAGUAACACGUAAGGAAUCUACCUAUAAGCGGGGGGUAACAUUCGGAAACGGGUGCUAAUACCGCAUAAUAUCUUCUUCCGCAUGGAAGAAGAUUGAAAGACGGCUCUGCUGUCACUUAUAGAUGACCUUGCGGUGCAUUAGUUAGUUGGUGGGGUAACGGCCUACCAAGACGAUGAUGCAUAGCCGACCUGAGAGGGUGAUCGGCCACAUUGGGACUGAGACACGGCCCAAACUCCGACGGGGGGCAGCAGUAGGGAAUCUUCCGCAAUGGGCGAAAGCCUGACGGAGCAAUGCCGCGUGAGUGAAGAAGGCCUUCGGGUCGUAAAACUCUGUUAUAAGAGAAGAACAAAUUGUAGAGUAACUGCUACAGUCUUGACGGUAUCUUAUCAGAAAGCCACGGCUAACUACGUGCCAGCCGCCGCAGUAA